AAAGGCACUAGGAGGAACGCGAAGAUGUUUUUACUUUAGGCGUAAGCACACGUACGAGAGGCUGCUAUAAAUACAGGCUGCCAGAGCACAGAUCUGGCAGAAGUGACUGCGUUUGUCUGGAUCACCACUCAUCUGCAAGCACCAUGAAUGUCACGAUGAAGAGGGUGGCGCUCAUAUUGGUUGUCGUUCUUCUCUGCGAAGUGAUGUCAACGGAAGCGGCACGCCGUCAACCCGCUAGAUCGCGCAAUACAAAGCGAGUGAUGUGUGGUGGCAAACUAUGCGCACCUGGUGAGUUCUGCGGUGACUUCAUUAAUCCCCCCCAAUGUGCUCGGGAGGACCCUGAACUUAUUGGAUGAAGAAUAAAAUAAAAUUCCUGCCCAUUGAGCAAAAUCGAAGCCGAUAGAUAGCUGCAUCAAGGAAAGCACACUGGAGGAACAUGAUCAGCAUCAUUGUGGGCUGAAGAAGUGGACUGCCAUUUCUUACUUCAAUAAGCACGGUGUUGAAUUUGAGGUACCAACCGAAUAAAGCGUCCACACAGCCCUUUAAAUAUAUCCAACAAGUG
rnacentral:lncRNA from 1 species